AUACGGAGGGUGCAAGCGUUAAUCGGAAUUACUGGGCGUAAAGAGUACGUAGGUGGUUUAUUAAGUCAGAUGUGAAAGCCCCGGGCUUAACCUGGGAACUGCAUUUGAUACUGGCAAACUAGAGUAUGGUAGAGGCGGGUAGAAUUCCUAGUGUAGCGGUGAAAUGCGUAGAUAUUAGGAGGAAUACCAGUGGCGAAGGCGGCCCGCUGGACCAAUACUGACACUGAGGUACGAAAGCGUGGGUAGCGAACAGGAUUAGAAACCCGAGUAGUCC
rnacentral:rRNA from 1 species